rnacentral:lncRNA from 1 species
AAUAAUCAACACAUACUGUUAUAUCUAGUUCUGAGACGUUUCCAUUUUUAUUGAGAUUGACAUAACGUUCUAGAAGUAAACAGCUUGAUACUUUUUGGAAUUGUUCUUUGCAGCCUCCCUCUUUCCCAUUAUGGUGUUCCUUCUUCAAUGUGUAAGAGCAUUAUGUAAGAAUCCUCAAGAUUUCAGAGGUAACUAUCAUCAUAUACACUUCAAACACUGUUAUGGCCUACCUAAUGUAACUAUCCUACAAAAUCUUAAUAUCAUUGUAAUCUAAGCUGGGAUAUAUAAAUAUGAAAAAAUUGUCUAUAAGAAGAAGAAGCAUAAUAAAAGAUUUUG